GGUUAAGUGGCAGCGCGUUUGACUGGCAGUCAAGAGGUCGUGGGUUCAAGUCCCACUAUCUCCA
rnacentral:tRNA from 1 species